AAAGGAAUCACUUAAAACAUGUAAGGCAGGUGAAACACUGAUCUAAACCUGCUAAUGACUGAUUCAGUCUGUUGAUUCUUGGAUUGGUAACUGGUUAAACUGAACUGGACAAUUAUUACUUGUGCAGGAUCUUUAUCAGCAUAUAGACAUUUUUUAAUUAAUUUAAUCAACUUAUUUGGAAAUAUUUGUAGUUAAUGGAAGA